rnacentral:lncRNA from 1 species
GUCAGUAAGGCCGCCCGUGCUGAGGCCCAGGUGGGCUCUGACUCUCCCGGACGGGGUAGUUUAUAGCCUGGAGGCCUGAUGCCCGGAACCUGUGAGGCCAAACAGUUGGCGGUGGUGUGGUGAGGGCUUUGCCGAGCGGGGAUUUUCCCAGAUUACCUGGAUGAGCCCUAACGGCAGUCUUCUGUCGGUCAAUGGGAGGGAGGCUUUGCUCAGAGACGAUUGGUGCGGCCGCAGAGGCAGAGGCUGGAGCCGAGUCGGGCUGGCAGCCCUCAGGAGCCAGAAGGCGUCCGUGUCCCUGCUCCGUCCUGCGGACACUGCAUUCAGAGAGUUCGGACUUCCGGCCUCAGAACUGUGAGAACGCCCAUGUGCUGCUGCCGCCGAGCUUGGGGUCGUCUGCAGCAGUAGCCACAGGGAACGGGCACAGGAGGAAGAAGGGCCCAGACCCCCAGACCAGAGGGCGAGCACACAAGAGAACGAGACUUCCAUCGUCACAGACCGGAGCGGACGGUGGGGAAAGGAGUCCCGGCCGUGCCCCUGCUGACCCGCCGAGCAGCCCAGACACUUGUGCUGAGACCCUGGAGGCCACGGCAGGAACACCUGUUCUCGGGGAGUACCGGGCUGGCCCUGCUAACAGGGGUUACGUGAGGUCCCAUGGCACCAGCUGUGUGCACAUGAGGGCAAGGGGAGGCUGAGGCUGGGCGCGACCGGGCUGGGCAGGGUGUGGCGAGGCAAAGGUCGCCACCGGCUGCUGAGUCAGUCACACCCGUGUGUGCUGAGGCCCUGCGGUGUGCUGGGCACCGGGCCCCAAGCAAGCCCGACUCAGCUCUGACCUUCGGGGCUCACGAGGCUGAUGAUUAGAAAGUGUCCCGAAGCAGCUGCAGGCGUCUGACCCAGGCAGGGGAGUGGCCGGGAAGGGCUGCAGAGGAGCAGGCUGGGCAGGGGCGCGGGGUGGCAGGAUGAAACUUACCUGCGGAGGACAUAGCAGGUGCAAGCAGGUGAGGGCCGAGCCACGCGUUUGCGCUUGCUGCUGCCUUCCCCUACCUGGGGGUAUGAAUGUGCAGGUGCCGCCCCAGGGGUCCUGAUUCUGCCGAUUAGGGGAGCUUAGGGGAGGGGCCUGGGCAUGGGGGGGCCUGACCGAGCCUCGGGGGAGCUAGGGUCUCAGAGGCUUCCUGCACGGUGGAGAAAGGGCCAGAGAGCACCAGGAACACAGCGCCCGGGACGCCAGGGGCUGGAGAUGCGUCCUGUGUGUGCUGCACGGCACAGUCCCCUGCCUGCCACCUUUGCAUCCCACUGGGUGCUGGGCCACAGCAGGUGGGGCUGGGCGUGGGCCCCUGAGGGCAGGUGCAGCCUCGCCCCCUUUUGAUUGAACCCCUUCCCCUCACAGGCAGGUGGAAAGCAAUCAUGGUGAUGGGCAGGUGGCCCUGCCCGCUGACGAAGCAGCGGAUCCACAGCAGCUCUGCCCUGGCCGCCCCCCACCGGCUCGCUGGAGCCCUGGCCGCCCCCCACCGGCUCGCUGGAGCCCUGGCCGCCCCCCCACCGGCUCGCUG